AGCGUAAGUGUGGUGAAAGAACAAUAUGAAUGUAAGUCAGGCAUGAAGUUGCACGGAGGAACCAACGUGAGACUUUAUAAUCACAUGGUUGUUCAUAUAUGUUGUUUAAUGCGUGAUAGGUAUUACCGCUUAAAAGGUGGUUUUGUAUUUAUAAUAAAAACUGAUCGUUUACAUUUAACAUAGAAUAUAAAAAUAGUUUUGUCUGGGUAGCAACAUAACUGUUGCAUAGGGUAUGUUGUUUAAUGAUAAUACUAUAUGAAAAUUCCUCGAGCCAGCUGACUUACACUAUGGAUAGUGUACAAGACAACAGUUAUAGAACAUCACGUGAUAAAGUUGAUGGAAACGGCAAAAUAUUUAUUUACAAUAUAUGUGUUUCCAGGGGAAGAGCCUGUUACAAAGUCUGUGUCUAAAAAAAAGUAAACUCGCUCCUUGUCGGACAAAACUGAAUGUAAUUAAGUUAACUACCUAUGUACAUUAUCAGUGGAGUACUUGAAUUAAUAUCAAAUUGUAACCCGAGAUGCUGGUGCCACACCUUAUUACGUGACCACCCAGUGAGGCGUGAACACUCAGGGGCAUGAUAUACACCCUUGUGUUUGAUUUGAUAUACCAAUCAGCCGUGGACGCCCGACCAUAAAAAUGGUAUAUAUAGAUUUAACCCUAAUCAGGUAUCGUUAAAUAUCGUUAAAUCGUCGAGAACGUUCUGUCAGACGAUCAAACGAUAACUAUUCAACAAGUCGGUAAAUCACAUCGAAAACCCAAGUUCUGGUCGCAGUGAGAAGCUCUGGAUACCUUGAGGAGGGUUCACCAGCUCUGCUUCAACAACGUUGACAUGGAUCUUACCAACGUCAUCAACAGUCAAGGCAGACAUCUUUCUUCAAGAAAUCUGCCCAAAAGGAAAAACACUGAAAUUGGACCAGUAAAGCUGCAAGACUUUGUCGGCCAGUCAAAAGUGGACGCUGCAAUCCAAGGUGAAACUUUCUUUCUCAUGGUGGGGCACACGCAUGAAGAUUUGGAUCAACUGUUAAGUGUUUAGUGCAAGGGAACUUAGACAGAAGCCUGCAACAACCCGCGAUGCCCUCCUUCAAGAUUGGGGACAUCCGGACACCCACCACCAAGCUAUCAGACUUCAAGCCCUUCAUGCCUGCCCCAAGGGAAGCGACAACCCUCCCAACUAAAGUUCAAGAGGCAAUAGAGAAGAACAAUGAAAAACUGCAAAAACAAUCAAAGAUCACUCUGACAAAGCACCGAAGACAAGCGUCAGUAUCAGAACAAUAAAGAAG